CCUCUGGAAGCGGGGGGCGGCUGGCGAGCGAAUGCCAACGUGGGUCUGAACGUCACAGCAAAGCUUUCCCUGUCUGGGCUAGUUAAACAUGACACCCGUCCCCAUCGGUGAACGUUCCCGGGUCUUAGCGAGGGCUACAAAGAAGGAGAAUCCCUUUUCAACAAACUGCCUCGAGCUUGUACCACUCUGUUAUAUAUCCUGGAGCUGACAGCAAUGAAACAACAUAGAAGAUGGCUUAAGUACAUAUGGAGGAAAACCCCUUGUGGAUGCAAUAAAACUCUGGUGUGUGCCAACAGUAUGGUAUAUUUAGAGGCAGUGAAACAGCAAAGGAACAACUCAUUGCCACUAAUCAAUCUUCCUUUGGCUGCCCAGGGGUGCAUUUUACAGUUGUCUGUGGUCUAUUGCACACUGGCCCUGAGGAUAUCUUGGACAAUUCUGAGACCUGCUGUAAUAUAUUUCCUGGGCAAUUUCAGGAAAAGAAAUUUCUUUCAUCCAUUGGGACUUAGACCCCAAAGUUAAUGCAAUUGAAUCUAUUGAGAUACCCAGAAAACAGCCUGGUGGUUUUACUGGAUCAGUGUCAAUUGGUUCAGCUCAAAAAUGUUGACAAGAUUGGCCAGGUUCAUGCAACCAUUUCUGUAUUGGAUCCUUGCCUUAAAGGGGUUAUAAGACAGCAAGGAAUGAACAAGUAGCUCAGCCAGGGAGGUUCUUAAUGCUUCCUUGUGAGAGGGAGUGGUCCUGUGUUGUCUGAAAGUGGCAGUAGAAAGCCCAUUUCCAAAAAUAAAUAAAUGAAAAUAAAAAAAAAAAAUCUUCCUUCAUCUAUGCUGGGAGAGACACAAGGGGCACAUGACCCUGUUGAUACUCCUCAACCUCUCAGUAGCUUUCAAUACCACUGACCAUGGUAUCCUUCUGGGGCAACUGCCUGAGUUCAGAGUGAAGGCUUAGGUUGGUUCUGCACUUACAUGGAGAGCUGUCUCCAAGUAACAGAGCUAGGGGUAUACUGUUCAGCUCCAUGGAUUCUCCAGCAUGGAGUUCCUCAGCAGCCUAUUCAGACUGCCGUACUAUUUAACAUCUACAUGAAAAUGCUGAGUGGGGCCAUCCGGAGCUUUGGCAUCCAUUACCAUCAGUGUGCUGGUAACACACAGCUCUAUUUCUCCUUUUCAUAAUCACCAGGUGACACCAUGGGUGUACUAAAACAGGGUCUGGCUGCAACAGUGAAACAGAUGAGGGGCAACAAACUGAAGCCCAAUCCAGACAAGACUGAGAUGCUGUUGGUGGCUGGUUCCUCUGACCAGAUGGGGGGAAAUCAACCUCUUCUAGAUGGGUUUGCAUUUCCCUUGGGAGGAGCAAGUAUGUAGCUUUGAACUUUCCUUGAACCAUCUUUGUCACUUGAGGGUCAAGUGGCCUCAGUGGCUUGGAGUGCCUCCUAAAAGCUCCGGCUUGUGGCCCAGGUCCCUUAUCUGGACAGGGAUACCCUGUUUUCAGUAAUUCAUACUCUGGUAAUCUCUAGACUACAGCAAUGCUCUCUACCUGAGGCUGCCCUUGAAGAUUGUUCAGAAACUUUAUCUUGUGCAGAAUGCAGCAGCCAGACUAACAACUGGGACCCACAGAUGUGAACUAGUUCUGGGCCACUUGCAUUGGCUGCCUUUAUGCUUCUGUGCUCAGUUCACAAUGCAGGUACAAAUUUAUAAAACCUUACAUGGCUGGGGAGCAAAAUACUUGAUACAGAGCUUCUCCCGACCACCAUUUGUCCAGACACUCCACUCCACAUCUGGGCCUUCCUCUGAGGGCCAAGAGAAGCUUGGGAAGAGGAAACAGUGACAGGAAGGGCUCUCCCCACUGCAGCCUGCCUGGCACAAACCUUGUCAUCAUUUGGCACCAAGUUAAGACAGCCCUUUAUGCCAAGUCUUUAAAAAAUAUACUUGAUUAUCUGGGGCUUAACCAUGACAAUCAAGAUAUACUUGGUUAUUGCACAUGUUUUUCUUUUACAGUGCCAUUCUUUACUGUAUGUAUUUAAUUAAUUUGCAAAUUGAAUUAAAAUGUUUGAGUAGAUUGGGUUAUUUUCAUUGUAUUGUUUUUAUGUACUAUUGUAAAUUGCUUAUAGGGCUUUGGCUACUGGGCGGUAUAGAAAUAAAAGAAAUAAUAAAAAGAAUAGAACACAA